GAUGAACGCUGGCGGCGUGCCUAAUACAUGCAAGUCGAGCGAACAGAUAAGGAGCUUGCUCCUUUGACGUUAGCGGCGGACGGGUGAGUAACACGUUGGGAACCUACUUAUAAGACUGGAAUAACUCCGGGAAACCGGGGCUAAUGCCGGAUAACAUUUAGAACCGCAUGGUUCUACAGUGAAAGAUGGUUUUGCUAUCACUGAUAGAUGGACCCGCGCCGUAUUAGCUAGUUGGUAAGGUAACGGCUUAACAAGGCAACGAUACGUAGCCGACCUGAGAGGGUGAAUCGCCAGACUGGAAGUGAGAAACGUUCCAGACACCUACGGGGGGACGCAGUAGGGAAUCCUACGCGAUGGGGGAAAGCGUGACGGUGGAAAGCCGCGGGAGUGAUGAAGGACCUAGGAUCGGAAAGCGAUGUUAGUAGGGAAGAACAAAUGUGUAAGUAACUGUGCACGUCUUGACGGUACCUAAUCAGAAAGCCACGGCUAACUACGUG
rnacentral:rRNA from 1 species